CCGCGAAUAUUCUCGCUGUUCUGAUUUUGUAAUAAUCAGGGCAGGCUAAACAUUCGCUAUAUUAAGACCAUGCAUGUGUCCCCAGACCUAGUUCUUUCCCUAGGUCUGGUUUUAACAAUGCCGGUGAUAAAC
rnacentral:snoRNA from 1 species